GGCAAUAAUUUAUACUUAGCUGCCCUCCAACCCUGUGACAUACCUUUAUGUUGCCUCGGCGGAUCAGCCCGCGCCCCGUAAAACGGGACGGCCCGCCGCAGGAACCACAAAACUCUGAUUUUAGUGUAACUUCUGAGUCUAAAAAACAAAUAAAUCAAAACUUUCAACAACGGAUCUCUUGGUUCUGGCAUCGAUGAAGAACGCAGCAAAAUGCGAUAAGUAAUGUGAAUUGCAGAAUUCAGUGAAUCAUCGAAUCUUUGAACGCACAUUGCGCCCGCCAGUAUUCUGGCGGGCAUGCCUGUUCGAGCGUCAUUUCAACCCUCAAGCCCCCGGGUUUGGUGUUGGGGAUCGGGCUGUACUCCAGCCCGGCCCCGAAAUCUAGUGGCGGUCUCGCUGCAGCCUCCAUUGCGUAGUAGCUAACACCUCGCAACUGGAACGCGGCGCGGCCAAGCCGUUAAACCCCCAACUUCUGAAUGUUGACCUCGGAUCAGGUAGGAAUACCCGCUGAACUUAAGCAUAUCAAUAAGCGGAGGAA
rnacentral:rRNA from 1 species